rnacentral:rRNA from 1 species
UGGGGAAUAUUGGACAAUGGGGGCAACCCUGAUCCAGCAAUGCCGCGUGUGUGAAGAAGGUUUUCGGAUUGUAAAGCACUUUCGACGGGGACGAUGAUGACGGUACCCGUAGAAGAAGCCCCGGCUAACUUCGUGCCAGCAGCCGCGGUAAUACGAAGGGGGCUAGCGUUGCUCGGAAUGACUGGGCGUAAAGGGCGUGUAGGCGGUUUGUACAGUCAGAUGUGAAAUCCCCGGGCUUAACCUGGGAGCUGCAUUUGAUACGUGCAGACUAGAGUGUGAGAGAGGGUUGUGGAAUUCCCAGUGUAGAGGUGAAAUUCGUAGAUAUUGGGAAGAACACCGGUGGCGAAGGCGGCAACCUGGCUCAUAACUGACGCUGAGGCGCGAAAGCGUGGGGGAGCAAACAGGAUUAGAUA